AUGCUUGCAAAUCUGUUUGAUUUGGUUGUUGUUUGUUCUUGUCCAAUAUGUGUUCGGUGGUUAGCAAUAUGUUUGUUGGUGCUAUAUUUUCAUUUUGAUGGUAGAAUGUGUGCGUUGUACAUGGUCAAGAGCGUUAGUAAAAGGAGGAAAAGGAUGAUUAGAGCAUCUCCACCCGAAAUAAAGCAUUGUGGGUUUUGUGGCAGUAAUGAGAACCUUAAUCGUCUCUUUUUCGUUAGUCCACUCGCUAGAGUAGGGGGUCCUCUUUGCACUCAGGAUUCAUUACUGGCUGACGACACCGAAUGGCCAUGUAGUAACAAGGAUCAGCAGCAAGCAUCACUCUGCUAG
rnacentral:rRNA from 1 species